UGGGGAAUCUUGCACAAUGGGCGAAAGCCUGAUGCAGCGACGCCGCGUGGGGGAUGAAGCAUCUCGGUGUGUAAACCCCUUUCGAUUCGGACGAAUGCCCGCAAGGGAGUGACGGUACGGAUAUAAGAAGCCCCGGCUAACUACGUGCCAGCAGCCGCGGUAAGACGUAGGGGGCCAGCGUUGUUCGGAAUUACUGGGUGUAAAGGGUUCGUAGGCGGUGCGGCAAGUUGGGAGUGAAAUCUCUGGGCUUAACCCAGAGGCUGCUUCCAAAACUGCUGUGCUCGAGUGUGGGAGAGGCGCGUCGAAUUGCAGGUGUAGCGGUGAAAUGCGUAGAUAUCUGCAGGAACACCCGUGGCGAAAGCGGCGCGCUGGACCACUACUGACGCUGAGGAACGAAAGCUAGGGGAGCAAACAGG
rnacentral:rRNA from 1 species